GUGCUUGCUUUGGCAGCAUGUGUACUAAAUUUGGAGCAAUAAAGAGAAGAUUAGCAUGGCCCCUGAGCAAGGAUGACGUGCAAAUUCGUGAAGUGUUCCAUAAGUGU
ensembl:snRNA U6 U6 spliceosomal RNA